CCUACGGGAGGUAGCAGUGGGGAAUAUUGCACAAUGGGGGAAACCCUGAUGCAGCGACGCCGCGUGAGUGAAGAAGUAAUUCGUUAUGUAAAGCUCUAUCAGCAGGGAAGAAAAUGACGGUACCUGAGUAAGAAGCCCCGGCUAACUACGUGCCAGCAGCCGCGGUAAUACGUAGGGUGCAAGCGUUAGCCGGAUUUACUGGGUGGAAAGGGAGCGUAGACGGCAGUGCAAGUCUGGAGUGAAAGGCGGGGGCUCAACCCCCGGACUGCUCUGGAAACUGUACGGCUGGAGUGCAGGAGAGGUAAGUGGAAUUCCUAGUGUAGCGGUGAAAUGCGUAGAUAUUAGGAGGAACACCAGUGGCGAAGGCGGCUUACUGGACUGUAACUGACGUUGAGGCUCGAAAGCGUGGGGAGCAAACAGGAUUAGAUACCCUUGUAGUC
rnacentral:rRNA from 1 species